rnacentral:rRNA from 1 species
GCAAGUCGAGCGAUCCCUUCGGGGAUAGCGGCGGACGGGUGAGUAACGCGUUGUAACAUACCCAGAGGUACGGAACAACAGUUGGAAACGACUGCUAAUACCGUAUACGCCCUACGGGGGAAAGAAUUUCGCCUUUGGAUUGGCCCGCGUUGGAUUAGAUAGUUGGUGGGGUAACGGCCUACCAAGUCGACGAUCCAUAGCUGGUUUGAGAGGAUGAGC